rnacentral:rRNA from 1 species
UACGGAGGGGGCUAGCGUUGUUCGGAAUUACUGGGCGUAAAGCGCACGUAGGCGGCUUUGUAAGUUAGAGGUGAAAGCCCGGGGCUCAACUCCGGAAUUGCCUUUAAGACUGCAUCGCUAGAAUUGUGGAGAGGUAAGUGGAAUUCCGAGUGUAGAGGUGAAAUUCGUAGAUAUUCGGCGGAACACCAGUGGCGAAGGCGACUCACUGGCCCGAUACUGACGCUGAUGCGCGAAAGCGUGGGGAGCAAACAGG